rnacentral:rRNA from 1 species
UACGGAGGGGGCGAGCGUUGUCCGAAGUUACUGGGCGUAAAGAGCUCGUAGGCGGCUUGUCGCGUCGAAUGUGAAAACUCGGGGCUCAACUCCGAGCUUGCAUUCGAUACGGGCAGGCUAGAGUACUGCAGGGGAGACUGGAAUUCCUGGUGUAGCGGUGGAAUGCGCAGAUAUCAGGAGGAACACCGGUGGCGAAGGCGGGUCUCGUGGGCAGUAACUGACGCUGGAGGAGCGAAAGCGUGGGGAGCGAACAGG